rnacentral:rRNA from 1 species
UACGGAGGGUGCAAGCGUUAUCCGGAUUCACUGGGUUUAAAGGGUGCGUAGGCGGGCAGGUGAGUCAGUGGUGAAAUCUCCGGGCUUAACCCGGAAACUGCCGUUGAUACUAUCUGUCUUGAAUAUCGUGGAGGUAAGCGGAAUAUGUCAUGUAGCGGUGAAAUGCUUAGAUAUGACAUAGAACACCCAUUGCGAAGGCAGCUUACUACACGAUCAUUGACGCUGAGGCACGAAAGCGUGGGGAGCAAACAGG